ACCGCAAGAGAUAUCUCGCUUGAAGGAAAGCGAGGAGCCGAAGGUGCAAGGGCAGCGAUGCCCCAAUCUCUCAGGCAAAAGGAUUGCGGUGU
rnacentral:ncRNA from 1 species